UGGACUGUCGGAAUAGUUUGGUGUUGUGAUGCAUUAUAUUUGAAAUAUUUACAGAGAUUUCAAGAAAAUAGAAGUGUGAAAAAAGUUAAAACCAUCUUUGAACCAAACUGAAGGAUUUAAAAAUUGAUAAAGAUUGCAAAAACUGAGAUUCUAAAUUGCCAUCAUUUAUUAUGGCUUCCAUUAUUGCAUACAUAUGAAUAAAUGAGGCUAUCGCUUCUUCAGUGGGGACAGAAAGGCCCCCUCUUUCAACAGAAUGGGACCCAUAACCAGAAAUAUAAAUUUUAAUGGAAUCAUCUGCAACACAAUCGGACAAGUAUUCGGUAUCGAAGAUUCCUGAGAAACAAGUCACAUCAGUGGGAAGAUCAUGAAGAUCGUUAUUAUUGUCAUCACAAAUUCGAAAUUUAUUUUUGAUUUCAGUAAGAGAAAACGAAUUUGCCGAUUUUGUAAAUAUAUGUUUUAAUCUAAUUUUUUUUUCUGCAUGAAUUAUUUCGUUAUAUGACACAUGAUAAUUACAACCAGAUAAAAGUCUAUAAUUUCCAAAUCGUUUUUCUAAUUUUUCGGUUGUAAAUUUUCCAGCCAAAAGAUAUGAUAUAUCAAAAUUUUGAAAACAGUACUCUGUAAGUAGUAAAAGAACUGUAGUACUUUGGUGCAGAGCUUUGAAAGUAUCUACUGUUAAAUGGCCAUUUGUCUGCAAAUUUUGCCAAGAAUUUAACCAUAUUAGAAAUUUCUUUAAAAAUUCACAUUCAAAAUCGGUUUACAAAAUUCGUUUCUUUUCCUGUUACCUUUUAUACUACUUGUAUUGUUCACAAUGUCCCACCAAUUGCGAAAUAUUUCUAAAAAAUGAGCAGUAGCGGUAUAAUUGAAAUCUUUCAUAGCUGCUAUUGUAGACUGAUGGAAUAUAUUAUCAACGAGGAAAACGUUUUGUCGGUCAAAAUUAUUUGGAUACAGUGACUUAUAGUUUAAUUUAUAAGCUUUCUUAGCAAUUAGCUUUCUUAGGUUUUUCGAAAUCGUAAACCGUACGUAAAUCAUUAAACUUAGCUAAUCUUAGUUCGUUUGUAUAAAUGUCGGGGAAAACGAAAGUUUUAUCUACAUUUUUUAAAUUUGACCAAUUAUUUCUAAUAUUUUUCAUUAUAUGAACAAAGUCGAAAGAAAGAAAAAUGGUUUUAUUAGAUUGUGAAGGAUUAGGAAAACUUAUACCAUUAUUAGAUAAUUUAUUAAACAUAUUUCUAUUGAUUCUAUGAUUAUCUGCUACAAUGCAUAUUAUUUCGAAACCACAUUUUUGGACAAAUUCUAUAAUUUUAUAAACAAUGGGUGUCAUUUCAGCCCCGGUAAUAUUGAAAACUGGUAAUAAUUUAAUAAUUUCAGAAAAAUUUCCAAAAGCUGAACAUAUCAUAAAAGCUAAAAUGGUUUUUGCCAAUUCGUUAGAAUUUGAAGCGGAACCCGCAAGUCUGUUUGAUUUGUACUGUAAUUUUGAACUAAUAUAAAUUUCAUCAAUUAAUAAAAUCACUACUUUUUCUCUAGAUGUUAAAUUGGAUGAUAUAUUAAUAAGAUAAUGUUCAUUUGUUAUAUCAUUAUCUGGUGAAUAGCAACCCUCCAUUUCUCCCGCUAUUCCUCAUCUUUGGGGAAUAAAAAUAUAGAAUUGUAA